UGAUACCCUAUUAUUUUAAGCUAUAUAUUGGUAGUAAUUAAUAAUUUAUGAAAUCAUAAGAUUUUGGCGGUAUUUUAAGCUUAUUAGAGGAAUUUGCUCUGUGAUGGAUACAACGCCUCGAUCUUACUUAAUUUGGUUUUAAAAGUCAGUUUGUAUACCACUAUAUUUAAUUAUAUUGAAUAAUUAUAUUUAAGAUUUUUAUAAAAAAAAUAUAUUAAGUCAAGGUGCAAUUAAUAAUUAUGAAUGAAGUGAAUUACAUUAAUUUUAAUUUUAUUAAAAUAUUGAAAAAAAAAUUUUUAGGAUUUAAUAGUAAAAUG
rnacentral:rRNA from 1 species